CCGCCCGGUCCGCGCCUUUGCGGCGGCACCGCCCGGGACGGGACGCGCCGGGACGGGACGAGACGCGCUCCGGACCCUCCGGUACCGCGGCCGCGCUUCGUGCUCCCCCCACAACCAAGCGGGGAACCCCCGCGAGCCUCAAGGUGAGCGUUUUGUUUAAUCAACCCCCCCCCGGAAUCCCGCGCUGAGGCGGGCGAGCGGGAGCCCUUCGGGCUGCGCCGCGCACGGAGAAUCCCGGUGAUCGGUAACGGGUGAAGGGCUCCAAGGCCGUCCCAACGCGGGACUUCCGCCGCGGCGGCGCGGCGGCGGCGGGACGGGACGGACGGGACGGGACGGGACGGACGGGACGGAGCCGCGAUGGAGAAGCCGCGGCGGGCCGUGGUGGUGACGGGGUUUGGGCCGUUUGGAGAACACGCUGUGAAUGCCAGCUGGAUUGCAGUUCAGGAGCUGGAGAAGCUGGGGCUGAGGAAUGACGUGGAUCUGCAUGUCUAUGAGGUCCCUGUUGAGUACCAGACCGUGCAGAGACUCAUUCCUGCCUUGUGGAAGAAGCACAGUCCCCAACUGGUGGUCCACGUGGGAGUGUCGGGCAUGGCCACCACUGUCACCCUGGAGAAGUGUGGCCACAACGUGGGCUACAAGGGGCUGGACAACUGUCGCUUCUGCCCGGGCUCCCAGUGCUGCGUGGAGGGAGGCCCCGAGUGCAUCGACUCCAUCAUCGACAUGGACGCUGUGUGCAGGAGGGUCUCGGCACUGGGGCUGGACGUCACUGUCACCAUCUCCAAGGAUGCUGGCAGGUACCUCUGUGACUUCACCUACUACACCUCCUUGUACCAGAGCCGUGGGAGGUCAGCAUUUGUCCACGUGCCUCCCCUGGGAAAACCUUACUCUGCAGAACAGCUGGGCCGGGCCCUGCAGGCCAUCAUAGAGGAAAUGCUGGAUUUUUUGGAGCAUUCUGAAGACAAAAUCAAUUGUCAACAUGAACACUGAGCAGCCUGGCCAGGAGCUCUCCUAGUAUUGCACUUCUAAAAUUUUCCCUGCUCUGAUGAAGUAUUGGGGAAAAGAAAAAACAAAACAAAAAAAAAAAAAAUCAAGCAACAGUUCCAGACCAAGAAUUGGAGACUUAAAAAAAAAAAAAAAAAAAAAAAAAAAAGGAAAAUUCUACAAAUUCUGCUUAGAAAUGAACUUUUUUUUUUUUUUUUAAUUGUUGUUGAAUCUGUGAGUUUCAGCCUGAGCAACAAAGGAUUCAGAAUCUCUUCUCUAGAACAGCUGCAGCUCCUGAAGGGUUUGUGCUGGGAGCUUCCAGGAUCCUCACCUGGAGGUUCCUCACCUCACCUGGACUCAGGUGCAUGGAAUUGCUCACCCAACCCUCCCGUGGCUAAUUUUUGAGGUGAAAGGUUUGCUUUCAGUUGGUUUUGGGUUUGUUUCCCCCCAGUGUUGACCCAAAUUCGGGGUGAUGAUGUGCAAGGACAGCUGGGGAGGUGUGGGCUUGGCUUGGAGAGCAGAGUUUGGUGGCUGUGAGGAGCCUGAAGCUGCUUUGCUGGACUGGAAAAUGAUUUUAGGCACUGAUUCCUCACCUCCUCUAGCUGCAGUAGAAGGGAUGUGUCUGGGGUUGCUUUUGGAACCCAAAUCCAGCUGGAUUUUUUUUUAUUUUUGGAUCCCAAAUCUCUUUUUUCCUGCCACCUCCCUUCCUCAAGGACCUGCUGUACCAAACACCUCGGUUCAAAUGUGUCUCAAACCAAUCAUUGGUGGGUGAAGAGCUUUGCUGAGGGCCACUUUCCCCAGGGGAGAUCUUCAUCCUGGUGCUCCACGCUGUUUUUGAGGUGAAGCUUCAGUAAUUUUGGAUUUCCUCAGCUGCAAAUUCCCCCUCGUGUUCCAGGUUAGGAGAGCAAUGUCUAACUGAGAUCCCAAUUCCACCUGGAUUGGUGUGGAGGCAUAAAAAUGCAGAUGGAAAGCUACAUAACCCCUGAAAAAUCAAAUGGCAGAUCUUCAAGCCAAUCCCACUGCCUGGAAACCAGAGGCAGUGAUUGGAAAUGAAGGAAUUUUGGCUUUGAGUGAGGAUUCCAGGCUCUUUCCUGGAGUUCCCUUCCCAGAAGCUGCUCGUGGGGGCUUCCCCAGGAAUUCUUUUGGGGAAGGGCACCUGCAGCAUCUCAGCAGGUGAUGCUGGUCCUGUGUGGGGAAGAUUUGCUGCCAAAUUUUGAGAUUGCAGCCAAAAAAAAACCCAGCUGAAGUUGGAGCAGACACAAAACUGGGAGCUGAGGCCUCGUGGAGAGGCCGUUUGGAUGAAGAACUCUGUGAUGCUUUUACAAAUAGAUAGAAAUAUAUAUAUAUAUAUAAAUAUAUAUAUAUAUAAAACCAACAUUUCAAAGGUUUUAAAGCCCAUGAUUUUGAAUUUCUCUGGUGCUUGACUGGCUCUGCUAUUGUAACUCUCAGUGAGAGCUGCCCUGAGCUUGGCCAGGAGAAGUCUGGUGACAAAACCACUCCUUGUAACCCUUGAGAGGGGGCAAAAACUCUGCAGCUGGAGGGCUCUGCUGAGGGCACCUGAGCAGGAAGAUUUUUUUGGAUAGAUCCAAGGAAAUUCCUGCUCUGUUCUCCAUCCAAGCCUUCCUGCUCAGAGGAAUUUGCCUUCAGGUGAAAUAUUGUCAUUCCCAUCGACUCCGAGGUAGCACUUGUCAGAUUUCCUGAUUAGUAAUUUAUUUUAUUUAAUGUUUUGUUGAAAUCUUCAUGUUUUGACACAGUUUUUUGGGUUGUUUUUUUUUUUUGUGAUUAGUUGAGUUCCUUAUCCCCAUAGGAUUUAUUCCUUUGUUGGUGGGAAGUUUUUUGUCCUGGGUGUUUCGUAGCUGCUAAAUUUGGGGGAGAGGAAAUAUCCCACAGGGCUUGGUGAUGGAGCAAUUCCCAGAAAAAAAAAAAACAAAAAAACCAAAAAAACCCUGCUUAAUUCACCUCUGAUGUCACCGUGGGUGAAAUGGAAGUGGGAAAUCCACAGAUGGGUGAGGCCACACCGAAAUUCCAGGGGUGGAACCUCAGCAGGGGCAGGGAGGGGGACCCGGGUGGGAUCAGCAUCUCCAGGUGAGAUGUUCCCUGUCCAUCCCUGGCUGUGCACCCCUGGGUGGGGCUGGAGGUGCCCAGGGUGAGGCUGGAGAUGCUCUGGAUGGGCUGAAGGUCCCCAGGGUGGGGCUGGAGGUCCCUGAAUGGUGCUGAGGUGCCCCUGAAUGGUGCUGACGUCCCCAGGGUGAGGCUGGAGGUGCCCUGGAUGGUGCUGGAGGUGCCCAAGGUGUGGCUGGAGGUCCCCAGGGUGAGGCUGGAAGUGCCCCUGGUGGUGCUGGAGGUGCCUGGAUGGUGCUGAGGUGCCCAGGGUGAAGCUGGAGGUGCCCAGGGUGAGACUGGAGAUGCCCUGGAUGGGAUGACAGUCCCCAGGGUGAGGCUGGAGGUCCCCGUUGUGUCCCUGGAGGUGCCCAGGGUGUCCCUGGAUGUCCCCAUGGUGUCCCUGGAGGUCCCCAUGGUGUCCCUGGAUGUCCCCAGGGUGUC